AGAGAGGGCCGCAGGCCCCAGGAGUCGCCAUGGCAACCUUCAGGUCUGUGGUUUGUGCUUUGGCUCCAAGCAGGAAGGAUGUCCCAGACGGCUGAGACCUUCUCAGAAAGACCACAGACACUCCAAAGAGAGACCGAAGUCUCUCUUCACCGGACAGGAUCCAACUUGCCUCCAGCACGUCAGUGCUUCUCCACCUGGCUGCCCACUGGAAUUGUCCCGAGACCUUUGAAAAACAUUGGCACGGGCACCUCACCUCCAGGAAGGACGAUGUAAUUCACCUGAGGUAGGGCGUGGGCAGUAGCAUUAAUUUUUAUAAGUUCCCCAGGUAUGUUCUUAGGUGAGUUGCGACCCACUGACCCAAAUGUUGAGUUGUUGGUG
rnacentral:lncRNA from 1 species